CAUUAAGAAGCUAUGUACCAGCACUAGCCUUUUAAGCUAGAGAAAGAGGGCAUUCCCUCCUUAAUGA
rnacentral:tRNA from 1 species